AUUGAACGCUGGCGGCAUGCCUUACACAUGCAAGUCGAACGGCAGCACGGGUGCUUGCACCUGGUGGCGAGUGGCGAACGGGUGAGUAAUACAUCGGAACAUGUCCUGUAGUGGGGGAUAGCCCGGCGAAAGCCGGAUUAAUACCGCAUACGAUCUACGGAUGAAAGCGGGGGACCUUCGGGCCUCGCGCUAUAGGGUUGGCCGAUGGCUGAUUAGCUAGUUGGUGGGGUAAAGGCCUACCAAGGCGACGAUCAGUAGCUGGUCUGAGAGGACGACCAGCCACACUGGGACUGAGACACGGCCCAGACUCCGACGGGAGGCAGCAGUGGGGAAUUUUGGACAAAGGGCGAAAGCCUGAUCCAGCAAUGCCGCGUGUGUGAAGAAGGCCUUCGGGUUGUAAAGCACUUUUGUCCGGAAAGAAAUCCUUGGCCCUAAUACGGUCGGGGGAUGACGGUACCGGAAGAAUAAGCACCGGCUAACUACGUG
rnacentral:rRNA from 1 species